UACGAAGGGAGCGAGCGUUGUUCGGAAUCACUGGGCGUAAAGCGUGCGUAGGCGGUUUUAUAAGUCAGAAGUGAAAGCCUGGGGCUUAACCUCAGAAUUGCUUUUGAGACUGUAAAGCUAGAAUCCUGGAGAGGUUAGUGGAAUUCCGAGUGUAGAGGUGAAAUUCGCAGAUAUUCGGAGGAACACCAGUGGCGAAGGCGACUAACUGGACAGGCAUUGACGCUGAGGCACGGAAAGCGU
rnacentral:rRNA from 1 species